rnacentral:rRNA from 1 species
UACGUAGGGUGCGAGCGUUGUCCGGAAUUACUGGGCGUAAAGAGCUCGUAGGUGGUUUGUCGCGUUGUCCGUGAAAACUCACAACUCAAUUGUGGGCGUGCGGGCGAUACGGGCAGACUGGAGUACUGCAGGGGAGACUGGAAUUCCUGGUGUAGCGGUGGAAUGCGCAGAUAUCAGGAGGAACACCGGUGGCGAAGGCGGGUCUCUGGGCCGUACCUGACACUGAUGCGCGACAGCAUGGGGAGCAAACAGG